rnacentral:rRNA from 1 species
ACAGCAGUCGCCGCGGGAAUACGGAGGGAGCUAGCGUUGUUCGGAAUUACUGGGCGUAAAGCGCACGUAGGCGGCUUUGUAAGUAAGAGGUGAAAGCCUGGAGCUCAACUCCAGAACUGCCUUUUAGACUGCAUCGCUUGAAUCCAAGAGAGGUGAGUGGAAUUCCGAGUGUAGAGGUGAAAUUCGUAGAUAUUCGGAAGAACACCAGUGGCGAAGGCGGCUCACUGGCUUGGUAUUGACGCUGAGGUGCGAAAGCGUGGGGAGCAAACAGGAUUAGAUACCCCAGUAGUCCCUGUCUCUUAUAC